CAAUAUAUUUUCUUAGCUCGUUCCUCAGUUUCGCAUCGCCAUCAUUGGCAUCGCUGUCCACAGCGCAUCCAUUGGGAGAAGCGCAUGCGAUGCCGCGUGUGCUUCCACCAAUGAUAGAGGAGAGUUCAGGUCAUGUGACGCAAAGCUCGGGUCGCCGCAACACCACCAGGUGGUGUUGCCCUUCGCACAUCACGGGCAGCGAAACUGACUAAUUGUACCCACAGUAUCGUGCAAUUUUUGCUGUGGUGUGGUCCAGCCUAGCCUUCCCCUUUGCGAGUUGGUGGCAGUGUGGAGUUGGUCACGGUGUCUUUCUUUUUUUGAUGGGAGCAUCAGCAGCGAUGGCUCACUGAACAAGCACUCCAGCAUUGGAAAGGAGUAUAGUAGUUUAAACCAGCAUUGUAUAAAACACUGCUUAUCCUGAAAGGUCAUAGAGGAAGCAGGACCUUCAGACUCUCAAGCAACUUGGUGAGCUUGCAAUCGGGAGCGAAAAAUACCUAGCUCACACCACAGCUAACGUUUAAGCACUUGCUGUUACACACUCGUAACUACCGUGUAGCGUUUUAACUUUUCCAUGCCCUAAUAAGAAUAGUGAGGUAUCAAAUUCACUAUACUAAAAUGGUGCUUUGGACUCUAUGGGGUGAAGUUGAUAUUUCUGCGUAGUGUCCCCUUGAAAUUGUAUAGGCCUAAUGCUAGUGGCCGAAUAUCUCCAUGCUUGCAUGCUUCGUGACUGCUAACAAAUCGGAACUCGUAAUGCUCAAAAUUGAAUUCAGAUGUACAAGAAACAGUUUGGUGCAUCAGAGCUGACAGCAUAUGAUGCAGUAAAAACACUUAAAUGCAGUGGCAGCUAACCAGCAACUAACUUGAUUUGCUAGUGCAUAAAGGUGUAACUUAUUUCGAUGGGACGUUAUGCUGGAUCAUUGUUUUGCCAUUUCUGGAGUCAGGUUCGUCCUGUGCAUUGAAGUUCCACCAUACUAGGGGCCACACCACUGAGAAGACUACCGAGUGAUUGCCACACUGAGUCCUGAGAUGACAUAUACAUUUCUCUCAAGCCCACAUUGCACAAAAACCUAGAAUGAUCAUCCCUAGGGAUGUUGCAAGUCUAUGUAGCUAUUUAUUGUGUUUCGACAUAUUCCUGCAAUGUUUAGUGUAGUGUAUAGAUGUGUUUGUGCAUAGAUUGAAGCUCAUGUCAUUUGACAUUCUUAAGCCCGCAUUUUUACGGGAAUCUUUUAUUACGAUGCCGGCUCAGCUAUAUUGCAAUCAUUGCCAUCCUUUGGCUCAAAGGGAACACUUCAGAGCUUGAAGAGGCCUAGACAGUGUAGCAUUGCACGUCAAUUUGUGUCUAUAAGCAGAAAGAUGCCAAGGUAGCUUUAGAUGAUGUGGCAGGAUAGAUUUUGCGGAUGUUUAGAAUACUUACGUAAUGUUACUGUUCAGGCAUACAUCGUCAGGAAUGAGAGCUAGGAGGCUUUUAUAAAACUUAGUUAACACAGCUCAGUGUAAUUUAGAUAAAAGUAGUCCGAAGGAGAUUUAGCUCGGAGUGGUACUGGUCUGUUUGGAUUCAGUUGCUCUGUGCACGUAAAGGCCUAUCUAAGAACCAGCAUUCUAAGCAGUGGGGGUGUCGUGUUGCCCCAGUACUAUAGUUUCCAGGCUAAAUGUAAAGCUGUGUGGAAGUGUGUUGUUUGUGCAUUUUCCAUCAGCGCUGUGUAACUGCUUGAAAAUAACAGCCUAUUUCAAAGCAGAUGCUCCUUACAUCUUGGUUUUAUUGUUCCCAUAUUGAUGAAUUUUCCCGAUGAUUUAAUCCUCAUGAUGUUACGCAAUUCGGAGUGUAAUUUUGUUCAUCGUACCUGUGGCUGUUCGCCUCCUCCGACAUGUACGAAGUGCUUUCCUUUUAAAAGUUGUGGACAUGCACGACAGGUGAUGGUGUAGGAUAAAAAUUGCUCCCAGGAGGGUGUGAUCUUGUUGACACUCCUAAGGGUGUGAAUGCUAUACCUAUAAGGGUGCACCAUUUUUAUGGAUGCUUAGCAUUGUGGGAUAAAAAUUGUUCCCUAGAGUGUAAUCACGGUCGCACCCCAAAGGGUUCAAGUGCUACGCAUAUAAGGGUUCACUGUUUUUAUGGAUGUUUGUGAACCUUCUGGAAAUACUGCAUCCAAGCGAUGUACUGACCGUGGCCAAAGGUGGCUUUUGUUGUGUUCCAGUGCACCGAGAUUUGACAGUGCCUCUCUCUUGUAUCGCUGGGAGACACUGCAAUGAGAUUCCCGUGACAACCUUUGUGAUAAACAGGGUUCUUGCCAAGAAGAUGUCUGGAAACCCUACCGGUAUGCAUUCAUAGCAUUUUUGAGACUCUACGAUGUCCAAAUGUUCACACUGCGUCGCAGGUUAUGGGACAGCUGCAUGCAGGUGUAUUUGGUGGUACAGCUUCUGUGCGACGGUUUUUCUUGGUUAAAAUAUUUUCCAGUGAGUUGCAGUUGCUUUUGUAGGCUCGUUAUUUCUGCAUUGGCUUACUGUAUUAUAUAAUUGUUUGAUCUAGAUAGUUUUAAUUGGGAUUCUGUAUUUAGUAGCAUAUCUGUUGUUGCAAGUCAUGAAGCCUGUCAGUCUUGCGCAAUGAUGUUAUGUUCCAAGUCCCACAUUCCUGAACACAUAAGCUUGCUUUGGAAGUGGGCACUUGAGCUUACACUUUGUUGUCUGGGUUGUUGUUCUUGUGGCAUAUUCUGAAGAUGCUGUACUUUAUGUAUAUUUAAAGCUGCCCGUGCAAUUGCUACCUAAUCAGCCUGUGAGUUGUGAUAUCUUUUACCUGUGCUUGUUAAUAUAUGCAGUGUUCACCUACUUUGCUGCUAAAUGAAAAUUAUAGCAUUGUCCCGAUGCUGUACGACGCGUGUUUGACAGCAAUAUAAUACCAUGACCAAAUGUGCAUCAGAACUCUGGUGCCUAUUCUCUUGUUGACACUGUGUACCUGUUUGUGUUGUUACUGUUAUAAUGUAUUUACCUCCUUCACGGUUGUCAUCCACUCGCGGCUCCUUUCUUGGAUAACAGUCAUCUGUUUUAUUUAUUCAAAAACUUGCUGUGGAAAAAAAAAGACAUGAUGAAGAAAGCAUGCAACUUUGUUGAAUAUAUAGCAGCUAUUUAUAAGGUUACGCCCGCACAUUCUGUUCUCGAAGUUCAGUGCACUGAUAAGAUGAUGUAUUGCCUGUGUGACAUUCAUAUUUUUGCAUAGGCAAAUGACUUUUUUUCUGGUGGAUAUUGGCAGUUUCUACAUGCAUGGGUUUAAGAAAUAGUCUGUUGUGGGUCAAACACCAAAGUUUGCAACUAGAAACAACAGCCGGCCUCCGAGGCGAGGCACACUGUUCUUGCUUCUGUAAAACACAAUAAAGACGUAUCAACA
rnacentral:lncRNA from 1 species